GACCGCUGGCGGCGUGCCUAAUACCUGCAAGUCGAGCGAACAGACGAGGAGCUUGCUCCUCUGACGUUAGCGGCGGACGGGUGAGUAACACGUGGAUAACCUACCUAUAAGACUGGGAUAACUUCGGGAAACCGGAGCUAAUACCGGAUAAUAUAUUGAACCGCAUGGUUCAAUAGUGAAAGACGGUUUUGCUGUCACUUAUAGAUGGAUCCGCGCCGCAUUAGCUAGUUGGUAAGGUAACGGCUUACCAAGGCAACGAUGCGUAGCCGACCUGAGAGGGUGAUCGGCCACACUGGAACUGAGACACGGUCCAGACUCCUACGGGAGGCAGCAGUAGGGAAUCUUCCGCAAUGGGCGAAAGCUUGACGGAGCAACGCCGCGUGAGUGAUGAAGGUCUUCGGAUCGUAAAACUCUGUUAUUAGGGAAGAACAAAUGUGUAAGUAACUAUGCACGUCUUGACGGUACCUAAUCAGAAAGCCACGGCUAACUACGUG
rnacentral:rRNA from 1 species